GUUUGGAAGUUGAAAGACGGCAUCUCGCUGUCACUAUAAGAUGGACCCGCGGCGCAUUAGCUAGUUGGUGAGGUAAUGGCUCACCAAGGCAACGAUGCGUAGCCGACCUGAGAGGGUGAUCGGCCACACUGGGACUGAGACACGGCCCAGACUCCUAUGGGAGGCAGCAGUAGGGAAUCUUCCACAAUGGACGAAAGUCUGAUGGAGCAACGCCGCGUGAGUGAAGAAGGAUCUCGGUUCGUAAAACUCUGUUGCAAGGGAAGAACAAGUAGCGUAGUAACUGGCGCUACCUUGACGGUACCUUGUUAGAAAGCCACGGCUAACUACGUGCCAGCAGCCGCGGUAAUACGUAGGUGGCAAGCGUUGUCCGGAAUUAUUGGGCGUAAAGCGCGCGCAGGUGGUUCUUUAAGUCUGAUGUGAAAGCCCCGGCUCACCGGGGAGG
rnacentral:rRNA from 1 species